rnacentral:lncRNA from 1 species
GCGAUACGGGGCCAAACCUCAGGAGGGAGGACGGCUUCACUCCGUCAAGCUAUCGGACACAUUGCCAGGGAAAGCCAGACAUUCAUACCUCCUUCAGCACUGGACACAGCCUAGGAUAUGGCUGGGAUCAGGACCUCCCCUCCCAUCUCGAGUCCCAAGAGGCUGGAGGGGAAAGAGAGGGGCGCUCCUCCAAUCCACCCCCACCAGCUCCCACCAGGAGCAAGGGCUUUGUAAAGAGAAAGCAACACUCCACCCUGCAAACAUGAACGGGCAGCAAGAAUGAAUCCAUUCUCUAAGGGAAGCCAGGCUGGGGACAUCCGCAGGGA